GACGAACGCUGGUGGCGUGCUUAACACAUGCCAGUCGAACGGAAAGGCCCUUCGGGGUCCUCGAGUGGCGAACGGGUGAGUAACACGUGGGUGAUCUGCCCUGCACUUUGGGAUAAGCCUGGGAAACUGGGUCUAAUACCGAAUAUGAUCAUCGGCUUCAUGGUCGGUGGUGGAAAGCUUUUGCGGUGUGGGAUGGGCCCGCGGCCUAUCAGCUUGUUGGUGGGGUAAUGGCCUACCAAGGCGACGACGGGUAGCCGGCCUGAGAGGGUGACCGGCCACACUGGGACUGAGAUACGGCCCAGACUCCUACGGGAGGCAGCAGUGGGGAAUAUUGCACAAUGGGCGCAAGCCUGAUGCAGCGACGCCGCGUGAGGGAUGACGGCCUUCGGGUUGUAAACCUCUUUCAGCACAGUCGAAGCGCAAGUGACGGUAGGUGCAGAAGAAGGACCGGCCAACUACGUG
rnacentral:rRNA from 1 species